GCCGGCGUAGCUCAACGGUAGAGCACGGCUUUCGUAAAGCCGGGGUUGUGGGUUCGAUUCCCACCGCCGGCCCCA
rnacentral:tRNA from 1 species